rnacentral:lncRNA from 1 species
UCUCUUUUGUCUCUAACGUCCACUUCUGAUGUAUUUCAAAUAAAGUAGUGGAUGCGUGUAGUAGGUUAUUUGCAUAUAAUAGAGUAGAUUGUGCAUGCAACAUAUAUGUUGAGCGUUUAGCAUUUAUUUUUUUUCUUUCUUAAUCUUUUUUACGCUUAUAGAAGGUUUGCUCAGAGACAUUAUCUUGACACUUUUUUGCUUGAGAUUUUAACUGAAUAUCCUUGGGUGCAAAUAGCUUACGCGUUUGACAUAACUCUCUUUCGAAGCUUUGACUUGUUGGUCAUUUAGUCUUGCAUCUGGAAGUUUUUAUCCUACUUGUUUCCCUCCGUGUUUUCCUAAGGUUUUCCUAUGUUGAUGGAUGACUUGGUAAUCUUGUUUCUAUCGUUAGUGUUUCUAUCUAUCCAAUUCUUUGUGCUUAGAUAUUUUCAUAUUCUCAUCUCGUUUAAUGUCAUUUGAUUAAAC